rnacentral:rRNA from 1 species
AGUAACACGUGAGUGACCUGCCUUUUAGACUGGAACAACUUACCGAAAGGUGAGCUAAUGCCGGAUGAGUUAUAUAAGUGCAUGUUUAUAUAGGAAAAGUUGGGGAGACCUGACGCUGAAAGAUGGACUCGCGUCCCAUUAGCUAGUUGGUAGGGUAAUGGCCUACCAAGGCGACGAUGGGUAGCCGGCCUGAGAGGGUGGCCGGCCGCACUGGGACUGAGACACGGCCCAGACUCCUACGGAAGGCAGCAG